GACGAACGCUGGCGGCGUGCUUAAUACAUGCCAGUCGAACGGAAAGGCCCUGCUUUUGUGGGGUGCUCGAGUGGCGAACGGGUGAGUAACACGUGAGUAACCUGCCCUUGACUUUGGGAUAACUUCAGGAAACUGGGGCUAAUACCGGAUAGGAGCUCCUGCUGCAUGGUGGGGGUUGGAAAGUUUCGGCGGUUGGGGAUGGACUCGCGGCUUAUCAGCUUGUUGGUGGGGUAGUGGCUUACCAAGGCUUUGACGGGUAGCCGGCCUGAGAGGGUGACCGGCCACAUUGGGACUGGGAUACGGCCCAGACUCCUACGGGAGGCAGCAGUGGGGAAUAUUGCACAAUGGGCGGAAGCCUGAUGCAGCAACGCCGCGUGCGGGAUGACGGCCUUCGGGUUGUAAACCGCUUUCGCCUGUGACGAAGCGUGAGUGACGGUAAUGGGUAAAGAAGCACCGGCUAACUACGUG
rnacentral:rRNA from 1 species